rnacentral:rRNA from 1 species
AGUAAUGAAUAGGAAUCUCCCUUUUGGCGCGGAAUACCUCAUCGAAAGAUGAGCUAAUACCGCAUAAGACCUACGGGUGAAAGCAUUUAACUAUGCACCGAAAGAUGAGCCUAUUUCCCAUCAGGCUGUUGGUAGGGUAAUGGCCUACCAAACCUAUGACGGGUAGGGGGCGUGAGAGCGCGUUCCCCCAGAAUGGGACUGAGACACGGCCCAUACACCUACGGGUGGCAGCAACAGGGAAUCGUACACAAUGGACGAAAGUCUGGUGUCGCAAUGCCGCGUGGAGGAUGAAGGCCUUCGGGUCGUAAACUCCUUUUACAGUAAUAGAGAUGUUAUUGAGAAUAAGCACCUGCUAACUCUGUGCCAGCAGCCGCGGUAAUACAGAGGGUGCAAGCGUUAUCCGGAUUUAUUGGGCGUAAAGCGUUUCGUAGGUUUCCAGAAAAGUUAAUUUUCAAAGACCACGGCUCAACCGGGGGAAGGGAGUUAAUACUGUCUGGAUUGAAAUAUGGUGGGGCUUCUGGAACUGAUGGUGUAGUAGUGAAAUACGUUGAUAUCAUCAGGAACUCCGAGGGCGAAGGCAGGAAGCUAACCAUUUUUUGACACUGAGGAACGACAGCUAGGGGAGCGAAAGGGAUUAGAGACCCCUGUAGUCCUAGCCGUAAACUUUGCUCGCUAGGGGUUAUGAUUUAUCAUUAGCCCCGUAAGCUAACGCGUUAAGCGAGCCGCCUGGGGAGUACGGCCGCAAGGCUUAAAACUCAAAGGAAUUGACGGGGACCCGCACAACCAGUGGAGCAUGUGGUUUAAUUCGAGACGAAACGAAAGACCUCACCCAGCCUUGACAUAAUACCGUUUAGGCACCUAGAAAUAGGAGCCGAUCUUUAGAAAUAUUGAUGGUACUACAGGUGUUGCAUGGCCGUCGUCAGCUCGUGCCGUAGGGUGUUCCCUUCAGUGGGGUAACGAGCGCAACCCUUGCCCUGAGUUGAAUACUCUCAGGGGACUCUUUGAAUUUAUUUCAGAGGGAAGUGAGGACGACGUCAGGUCAGCAUGGCCCUUAUAGCUGGGGCGACGCACAUACUUACAAUGGAGCUGACAGAGGGUUGCCAGCCGCAAGUGGAGCUAAUC